GACGAACGCUGGCGGCGUGCUUAACACAUGCAAGUCGAACGGAAAGGCCCGGCUUUUGCGGGGUGCUCGAGUGGCGAACGGGUGAGUAACACGCGAGUAACAUGCCCCUGUCAUUGGGAUAUAUUCAGGAAACACGGGCUAAUAUCGCAGAGGAUCUCCUGCUGCACGGUGGGGGUUGGUAAGAUUCGGCGGUUGGGGAUGGACUCGCGGCUUAUCAGCUUGUUAGUGGGGUAGUGGCUUACCAAGUCUUCGACGGGUAGGCGGCCUGAGAGGGGGAACGGGCACAAUGGGACUGAGAUACGGCGCAGACUGCAACGGGAGGCAACGGUGGAGAGUAUUGCGCAGUGAGCGGAAGCCAGAUACAACGGCGCCGCGAGCGGGAUGCCGGGCUUCGAGUUGUGAACCAAUUUGGCCUGUGCCGAGGAGUUAGUGACGGUAAUGGAUAAAAAAGCACCGGCUAACUACGUG
rnacentral:rRNA from 1 species